GUUUAAGUAGUUUAAUUUGAAAAUACUGAUUUGUGGUGUCGGUGAUGUGAUUUGGUUGCCUUGGACU
rnacentral:tRNA from 1 species